rnacentral:rRNA from 2 species
AUCUGGGCGGCGGAAUUCAAGAUGGUCGGCGUGCUCUCGCGGCGCGUUGGUCGUUUGAUAUUUCCGUCGCCAACUCACCGCAGACGUCGCGACCUGUUCGCGGUCGGUCCCUGCCUCGGAGGAGCCGCGUUCGAGCUCGUCGUGUGCGCGUUUCGGCGCGUCACACGGCGAAGGCGCGGAUCUCUGGCUGGCCGUCGGACAGUAUGCUUAACGGUGUCCGGUGUCGUCGUCUCGUACGCGCGGCAUCGGUACCGGUCAGCGACGAAUUCUUCGGGCCUCUUUCCGACCCGUCUUGAAACACGGACCAAGGAGUCUAACAUGCGCGCGAGUCGCGGGGUAUCGAGCGUACUUCGGUGCGUUCGUUAUGUUACGAAACCCGUAUACAUGUCGAAGGCGUAAUGAAAGUGAAUGGGGAAGAUGGUGUUCCGAGUUCACGUUCCGCGAUCGCUGGUAUCGCGGCCGGACGCCCGCAUUCCCGGGGCGUCUCAAUGGCCCGUCGUUGAUGCGGACAGUCGUCUCUCGGGGUGGCUGUCGGUCGGCGACGAACCGA